rnacentral:rRNA from 1 species
UAGGGAAUCUUGGACAAUGGACGAAAGUCUGAUCCAGCGACGCCGCGUGGGGGACGAAGGCCCUCGGGUUGUAAACCCCUGUUGUUGGGAAAGAAGCCGGGCGCAUAGCCCGGUGACGGUACCCAACGAGGAAGCCCCGGCUAACUACGUGCCAGCAGCCGCGGUAAGACGUAGGGGGCGAGCGUUAUCCGGAUUCACUGGGCGUAAAGGGCGCGCAGGCGGCUACGUAAGUCCGGCGUGAAAUCCCACGGCUCAACUGUGGAACUGCGUCGGAUACUGCGUUGGCUUGAGGAUGGUAGAGGCCUUUAGAACUAGCGGUGUAGCGGUGAAAUGCGCAGAUAUCGCUAGGAAUGCCGGUGGCGAAGGCGGAAGGCUGGGCCAUUCCUGACGCUGAGGCGCGAAAGCUAGGGGAGCGAACCGG